AAGAUUCGACCUUCGGGUCUAUCUUCUCUUCAGCUGUGCGCUUCGGCUGCACGCUGUUGAACCUCACACACCUGUGCACACUUCGGUUGCGGUUGGUUAAUUCUGGCCGCUUCCGCUUUUACAUUUAACAACCAAGUCUAGAAUGUCCAAUACUAUAAAAUAA
rnacentral:misc_RNA from 1 species